UACGGAAGGCAGCAGUGGGGAAUAUUGCACAAUGGGCGAAAGCCUGAUGCAGCUAUGCCGCGUGUAUGAAGAAGGCCUUAGGGUUGUAAAGUACUUUCAUCGGGGAGGAAAAAACAAAACUAAUAAUUUUAUUUCUUGACGUUACCCGAAAAAGAAGCACCGGCUAACUCCGUGCCAGCAGCCGCGGUAAUACGGAGGGUGCUAGCGUUAAUCAGAAUUACUGGGCGUAAAGAGCACGUAGGUGGUUUUUUUAAGUCAGAUGUGAAAUCCCUGGGCUUAACCUAGGAACUGCAUUUUGAAACUGAAAUACUAGAGUAUCGUAGAGGGAGGUAGAAUUCUAGGUGUAGCGGUGAAAUGCGUAGAUAUCUGGAGGAAUACCUGUGGCGAAAGCGGCCUCCUAAACGAAUACUGACACUGAGGUGCGAAAGCGUGGGGAGCGAAACAGGAUUAGAUACC
rnacentral:rRNA from 1 species